GUGACAGAAGAGAGUGAGCACAUAUGGCGUUUUCUUGCAUGAUAUAUAUACACAUCCAUGCUUGAAGCUAUACGUGCUCACUUCUCUAUCUGUCAC
rnacentral:pre_miRNA from 1 species